AGUGUUUAGCUGCUCCUAUAAAGUCACCUGACCUGCACCUGUUUGUUAGUGUUUUGUUUCCCUGCCCAACAGCAGGAGGAUGAUUGCGCUUUCUUUUGGGUGGUGCUGCUUAGUAGGACUGUGAUCUGAUAACAGUGUUGUCCUAUUGUCAGGUGUGGAGGAUCCCUGCUGCCUUCUACCAGCGCUACACUGAUCUCUCCAAACUGAAUUCUGUCACUAUUGAGGCUCUCCGACCCCCUCCCAUCUAGUUUAAGCGUGAGCCCAUUGGCUGUGGACUCUGCCAAUAUCCAAGAAUCGAUGAGAGCGACUGUAAAAUCGAGGGAGGUUCAGAGUAACCUUUACAUCCAGCUCUGGGCCCUCUUGUAUUGGGCGUUCGCCAAUAGGCUCAAACUAUAUUUUGUUAUUGUUUGUGGGAAAUGUAAAAUUACAUUAUCUGUUUUUUGUAAA